rnacentral:rRNA from 1 species
GACGAACGCUGGCGGCGUGCUUAACACAUGCAAGUCGAACGAAGAGCGAUGGAAGCUUGCUUCUAUCAAUCUUAGUGGCGAACGGGUGAGUAACGCGUAAUCAACCUGCCCUUCAGAGGGGGACAACAGUUGGAAACGACUGCUAAUACCGCAUACGAUCUAAUCUCGGCAUCGAGGAUAGAUGAAAGGUGGCCUCUACAUGUAAACUAUCACUGAAGGAGGGGAUUGCGUCUGAUUAGCUAGUUGGAGGGGUAACGGCCCACCAAGGCGAUGAUCAGUAGCCGGUCUGAGAGGAUGAACGGCCACAUUGGGACUGAGACACGGCCCAGACUCCUACGGGAGGCAGCAGUGGGGAAUCUUCCGCAAUGGACGAAAGUCUGACGGAGCAACGCCGCGUGAGUGAUGACGGCCUUCGGGUUGUAAAGCUCUGUUAAUCGGGACGAAAGGCCUUCUUGCGAAUAGUGAGAAGGAUUGACGGUACCGGAAGAGAAAGCCACGGCUAACUACGUG